rnacentral:lncRNA from 1 species
GGGGCUUAGCACUGAUUUUGGUUCUGACAAGCUGGCCACUCAGAGACAGCAGUAGCUAUGUCUGUCUCAGUAUGUGGUAGACCAUGCUGUUGGGCCCAUAUAUAUAUAGCCUCCAUGCCUGCCACUGGGGCUACUUCAUUCACGUACCCACUGUGUCAGUUCUGGGAUGACUAAAAUCAACUGGGUCAUCAUGAGUGAAGUCUUGAGCCACUGAGCCACUACCACCUUGUGCCAAAUACUAUCUGUGCCCUGCCUGCCAACCAGGAUGACAACC